rnacentral:snRNA from 1 species
AGCUCUCUGCAGUGGCUGUAUCAUAGCCAAUGAGGUUUAUCCAAGGCAUGAUUAUUGCUAAUUGAAAAUGAGCAGCGCAAGGCAGUGGACCUUGUGAGGAGUUGAGAUAUUUUCACACACCUGGUGACAGAAGCACUAGAUU